rnacentral:rRNA from 1 species
GAGCAAUGUCAGGUGGUAGGUGCACAUGCCAACAAUGGUCAGAGUGACGGCCGCCUCCUCUUCGCUACGCCCCGUGCCGUGCGGGCUGUCGGUGUCGGCCCAUGGCCGCCGAACGGCCGCCCGGCGGUGCUGCGCUCGUCACUGCUAACGCGCGCGGGGCGGGGACAGUAGAUCGCGCCGCCGAGGAUGGAGGCAGGAAGGAAGACAGUAGUUCGCGGCGUUGAGGGUGGGUGGGUGGAGGCCGGAGGUUACUUUUCCGGGCGCCGGGCGGCUCGGGUCCUCGACGCUCACUCACCGGACGGCGGGCAGUUAUGCGGCUCCUCGAGCGCCAGUCGCUGGUGCCGCUCCUCCGGCGGCGGCAUCGGCGAUGUGUCCCGGCCUUCCCCUUUGACUAGUUGAACCGCCACAUUGGUUCUAGUGUAUUUACCCAAGGGAGUGUUCAAGAACCUACUACUUGAACACACCCCCAGGUCAUACGAGGUUGGUUCUACAUGAAAGUACACGGAAGUUCCUUCAUAAGCUGAGAAGGUGAACGUGCUUAGUAGACCGCCGCUGACCGUAGCGGAACGACGAGCAUGAGCGCGAGAGUGAGGUCGACCAAUAGUUUUAGGGCUUCUCACCUCGCAGACGAGUCCCCGAGCAGCGUCAGCCGAGUGGUGACGUCAACCGACGUCACCAGAAGUCACCGUAGGACCCCGACCAAAUAGAACCGGAUCCUGACAGCUACGACCCUUCGUAGAAGUCAGUCCUACGAAGACAAAUGGACGGUGUGACCACCGAACACUGUAAUAGAGUUCCUAAGUCAAACCAGGAAAGGUCGAAACGAAAGUCGCAGUCCGGAACCAAAGAGCCUCGAAGUAAACAAGGUCAAACCAGCUAAGACCACUGGGACAUGCGUCGUAAGUAUACGACAAGGAGCCAACAACCGUAACAACGUCUAUUCCGUCAGUGGUAAUUCCGGACAAACCUACAAGACAGGGAUGGUCGACGUAAAGAGAAGGAUGAAAUACCGCAAGCCGCGUCGGUACUACUUCUGCUAAUGGUCCGUUGUCCUUUACGAAAUAUGUUCGGGGACUUGUGGCUCCGUCUACUAGUCUAUCGACUAAGACUGUGAGUCCACUGAAGAAAACGAUUUCGACCAAAAAAGUCGUUCUACAGUAAAACCACCAACUUGGUAAACUACUUCUACCCAAUAUUCUUCGGAGAACUCCUGUUUCUAUACGGUGAAAAUGUUUGGUGUCUGGCUCGUGUAUUGGUCAUGAACUACAAGAACCUCUUCGACUUAUCGUUCGUCAGCGUCAGUGUACGGUGUGGUAGUUAGAACACCUGAUAACAAAGAACGGUGUUCGCACUCUAGUAUCAGAGUCCAAAGAAACGAAACGAGUUCCACGAGUGGAAUAGAUGUCCGGGUAACGAAGAGUUCCGUAAGUAGUUACAUAGUCAACCGUUUCCCUGGAAAUUUAUACUUCCGAAACACGACCGACGCUGUUACAAACAAACGUUUACGACACUUAGAAACAGCGUCUCCGUCACCAAAAAGGCGUGAGCCUCCAAUCCUGAGGUCCACUCCAGUAAGGACAGUCGUCGAUAAAUAUUCUUCGUUGUCUUCGAUAGUUUGAGACGUUUUUACUUCGUGAGAAGACCUGUUUAAUACUUGAUACACUGACAGCUACGGAUGGCCUAACCCCUUAAGGGCAUGACCAAAGUGGUUUGUACCUGUUGUUCAGAAGUUGAAACGUAACGAGACCGUUAAGACAUGUUACGUCAACCACGACGUCGUCAGAGUAGUAACCGACAGUAGUAAUAGUGACAUUAGCCAUUACGAGGCCACCGGUUCGACGUUGUGUUUAAAGUCUCAUUCGAAUACCUUCGAGUUCUACACUCUAACUUUCGGUACAGACUCAGGAAUCAAGUAUACUUCUAGAACUUUGAAAUAAGUACCCUUCCAGUGAAGUUCUUCCAGUAGCUCCCUAACUCCCUCCAACUCAUAUUCACCAACAGUCGUAAGGACGAAUCCUCCCGCAUGUUGUCAAAGGACAAGACCAGUAGUGGACAAAAUCAAAGCCGUCGUUGGAAAGAUUGUACGAUAGAAAAGUUUUAAGGAGAACUACGAUCGUUGCAGAAGUGGUGACACCGUUGAGACGCAGAGCACGUUCUGGGUCAAUCCUGUUAUGGCCUACAAUAACGUCACGACUAUGUUCGAUUCCAACCAAAGUGAGCGUAUAGUUUCAAAGAACUACGUGGACUCGACUUACCUGUUCAAUCCUUCUUUAUGGCACGCCCGUAGCUAAUGGGUUAUCGCUACUUGAGUACGUCAAAGAGGACCCUACUCUUAGGUAGUUUUGGUUGAGAUUUGUUAUAUUUAGACCACCACUUUCGACCUCUUUUCCAACGUUAAACACCUCUCCAUCCUAGUCCUUUCAGUUGCGAAAACCGAAGACAUGAACCUCUCCAGGGGUUUUGACUUCCGUGCUAACUUCAGACACCCUUUUAUCGUAUACAAAGAGUCUGACGUACCUAGGUUUGUCCUUGACAUGUCCUAUUAUAGGAGAAGCCUAGAAACUACCUGUCUGUUUAUAUGGUUCUUUGUUAACUCUCUACGAGUAACCAGUUCCUGGAACUUUACGACGGUAAGCCGCUGGCGUGUGUUUAACCCCUCUCUCCUCAUUUAGAUUCACCACCAGUCUUCGUCGCACAAGUCGAACGAGCACGUGAUAUGGUCUUACGUCUGUAUAUAGAAGAACUACUGGGAAAGUCACGACAACUACGGGUAUGUCGUUGUUCGGAGAAAUUACUAAUACAGUACCCACAAGAUAGUCUGUUCUGACAAGAAAACCACUGGGUGGUUCACCUAAAAGAUGGACAUAAACUGAGGUAAGACAAUUACAGUCUACCCCUCCAAUAAGCCAGACGUGGAAUAGUUCUAAAUAACCGUCUAACGGUUCUUAAGUUCAUGGAACAUUUACGUGUAUUUCUAUGACAACCACAAGUUCUAGGAUUGUCACGAGGGGUGCCUCGUUUCCUUUAUGGUUGUUUCCUCUGUCUACCUUAAGUACAUUUGUCUAUGUAUCUCAGACACCCCGGUAGUGGUCAUCUAGUUGACUAGUUCUUUCUCCUUUCUCUUAGUCCCCUAUGUCCAGAAUUCGGAAUAUACGAAAUGGACGCGGUCUUAUUUCCGAAGAACAUACGGAGAGAAAGACAAUACAGAGUGUAUCAAAAGAAUCGACCCGUUUAUAGGGUCUUAAGUACCUACCGACGGUUACAGGUUUUAGGAGUACAAUCAUGUGACUUCAAUUAAAGACACAUGCAACCAUAACCUCAAACGUGUUACUAGAAACACGAUAGCUCUACAAAUAAACAGCAACAAGAACCGCAGGUUUGAAGUUCUAGGAAUAAAUGGGUCAAUGAGUUAAGUAACAAGGCACGUGGAUACAGGAAAAAACUAAGAUGAGGAGUUCCUUCCUAAGAAUCGGCCCAGAGAAGUCUAAACUCAUAGCAACUGGAACUAUAAGGUAAACGUAAGUACAAAUCGGAGUCAAGGACGAAUUUGCGUAUAUCGUUACACCCCCAUAACCGACAACAACAUACCGUUCAAGACAAACAUCGUGACGGCUACUAUCAAAACCAUUAAGUCAACGUCUCCAUGAUAAAUCGGAGUCGAUUCCUUAACUACGCCUAGUUGCCUUGGUGGUUCAGACGAGAUCGUUUAGUGAAUCCACUUAGCUAGAGUCCCCGAUAUUGUUAUGCGCGGAAACUCCUCCUUCUAGCAAAGAAACGAUUCUUAAACCUCGAUCAACUGUUCUUACGACCAGGUAUGAAGAAAUUAAAACGUCGUUGACUUACCAACUAACUUGCAGACCUUUAUUACCCACGACACCAAGAAAGAAGAAGACGGAAACAGUACCGAGAAGAAGGACGUCCUUGAAAAUCGGGACCAAAAUAACCUUACCGUGACAGGAUACCGGAAAGGGAUUUAUUAAGGAAACAAUUGUGGUAUGUUUUCGUUACACUGGAGCGUUUAUUUUAUUAUAGACACCUUGCCCACUUGGUCAUGUACCUGUAAGGCUCACUUCGUGGUCUUCAAUAACUUCUUUUGGCUGGUCGUGGUCUAACCGGGGUUCAACCGUCACACCUCGAAUUUCUAGACUUCUAAUCCAUGUCCCUUCUACGUGGGGAACAUGAUGUGCCAUAGUCAACGUUCAAAGUUCCAUCUCUAUUCUAACCAUAACAACCAGCUUGUCCUUCACCGUUCUGUUGAAAUUAACCACGCAACAAAGCGGAACAACUUGGACGACUUCCCUUUUAUUAAUAUCUGAGGCACCUGUAGUCAUGUUAUCCGAAUGUACUGGACGCAAGCGCAAACCCGUAGUAAGGUGUUCUAGGUUGUGAAAAAGUCCCAUGUCAUUCUAUGUUAGAUCUAGGAGAACCCGUUAAGAGUCUAGUCGUUUAUACCCUCCAAGAACUGUUUACAGUUGAAGAACUUCGACAGGUCCUCUUCUUUGUCCCUAACCUAAGUGAACAACGCCUUCUGCCCAGCUUGACCUCGUACCCGGUUUCCGUCGAGAAAACAAACCCGGCGUGUGAAAACUUUUCCACAGCAUAGAACCAGGAACUACUUCGGUGACGGAGAUAUCUGUUGUGUUGUCUACGGCAGGAAGUCUUUUGCUAGGCCUGUCUUAAGUUUGUAACGUGGCAGUAAUGCCAGCGGGUGGCAUAUGGGUGUCAGUACCUGACGCUGUACCAUGAACGUUACUCACUACCCUUUCAUCGUCUCAUACUGUUUGGGAGCUUCGAGUACCUUUGACUUCCUAGAGAGAAGGCGCUCGACCACUUGCUCAUGACCAGUAUGUGUAGUUUGCCUUUGUAAAUCUUCUCUAAGAACUACCACACACAAACCACGACGACGGAGCUGUUCUCUUUUGUGGUAUAUAUCAAAUUAGAGAACUGUAUGGAGUCUCCCUAAGUAGAUGAUCUCUAGACUUCUUUUAUGCCACGGUAGAAAGUCAGUAAAGGGCCUUAAAAAAACGAGAGAUGUCGAUGGACUUUCAAGCUCGAUGUAUACCAAAUCGGAUACAAACAAGUCAUAGCGGUGAGAAGUUUUCGUGACUCCGACUUGCCUUGUCUUUUCGUAUGGAUCGAUCCGCCACGGCCACGGCCAAGACAAGAGGAAAAGAAAGUUUAUACCAAGACAAAAAGAAUAACGCUUUAUUAUACCAAUACAACUGGGGUAAGUCCGACUCCACUACGAAAUGCUAAAUUAGGUCCGUAGUUGGUACGUACGUACAAACCUGUUUUGAUUUAAUCCCUUUUAGAUCACCUUUUAAAACUAUACUAGACUAAUUAUUAACUUCUUCCUUUCGAACUACAACUUAACAACUAGUGCACGGACAAAGCCUAGCUUUUCCCGUUAAUCACGUAAACAGCAACAACAAACAACAAACAACACGACGGGGAUGACGACGAUGAUGAUAUUUCAUGUCACAUAAAAAGUGUUGAAAACAACACGACGGGGAUGACUCCGCGCCACCAACGACCGACUCGUGUCACCAACACCACCACCGACGAUCCCGUGCCGACGCCGCUGGAACUCGUGCUGGUCAAGACCCGCCGCCGCCGCUAAAUCCGUCGCCGACGCUGCUGCUAAGGGAGUACCCGCCACCACUAACUCCGGGCGCCAACGACCAACUCGGGUCAAGUAGGAAAUGACAGUUACAAUGGAGUCCGGGCCGUUCAAGGGUUCAACCACCUUUAUUUUCUCGUUUCUUUCACGGUCGUUUUGAUGGUCUGAUCACGAACAAAACGACAACAGACAAGAACACAGUCUGGUACACUCUCAAGUACAAACAGCAACUAACAUUCGAUAUAAGUCAUGAUAAAGGGAAAGGGUAAGUCAUGAAACAGUCUGAUACAAGUUGAUUUAACCCAAGUCUGAUACAAGUUGAUUUAUUUAAGUCAUGUUACGAGACUUUACAGGU